rnacentral:rRNA from 1 species
UUCCUACGGGAGGCAGCAGUAGGGAAUAUUGGGCAAUGGGCGCAAGCCUGACCCAGCCAUGCCGCGUGGAGGAUGAAGGCCUUCGGGUCGUAAACUCCUUUUCUGAGGGAAGAAUAGCCUGUGCAGGAAAUGGUAUGGGUAUGACGGUACCUCAGGAAUAAGCAACGGCCAACUCCGUGCCAGCAGCCGCGGUAAUACGGAGGUUGCAAGCGUUGUUCGGAAUUACUGGGCGUAAAGGGAGCGCAGGCGGCCAAGUCAGUCUGAAGUGAAAUCCCGGGGCUUAACCUCGGAAGUGCUUUGGAUACUACUUGGCUAGAGUACGUGAGAGGUGAGCGGAAUUCCAGGUGUAGCGGUGAAAUGCGUAGAUAUCUGGAGGAACACCCGUGGCGAAAGCGGCUCACUGGCGCGUAACUGACGCUGAGGCUCGAAAGCGUGGGGAGCAAACGGGAUUAGAUACCCCUGUAGUCACU